UUUUGUGUUUAGCACAUGCCAAAAGUUCCGGACUCCCAUACGUUCUGACUCUCCUCUCUCGCGAUACCCAGUCAGUCUCUGAGCUCUCAUCCUUCUCACCUUCAAACUCCCUCUGUUCUCUCUCGCGAUACCCCCCAGUCUCCCUAAACCCUCUCUCGUUGUACCCACAAUCAUAGUCACUCUCUCAUCCCUCUCACCUUCAGCAUCUGUCUUCUUCAUCGAUUUCUUCUCUGUUCUCCAUCCAUCCCUGCCGUCAUCUUCACUUUCCUCAAUCUGUAUCGCCUUCUCGAAAAUUAGAACCAACAAAACCAAAAUCAGUGAGAGCAAGCACGCACGCACUCAGUUCAACCAACACACUCAGACGGAAUCCAUCUCUAAGCUGCUCAGAAUCACCGAAAGCUGGUGAUUUCAUCAAUCAAUCAAACGCCCAAAUUUGGGUAAUUUGUUAUAAAUAUAAUUUUUUAGUUUAGGGUUUGAUUAUUCUUCAUUUAGGGUUUAGGGUAGUUGGGGUUUAACGAUUUGCGGCGGGAAUCUCUAAGACUUAUCUGUAUAAAGGGAGAAUGGCCGUGGCACAGUCAGGGUGGAAAUUAUCAUAUUUAACUUCAUGGGUUAGAGUAGUUGGAGUUUCAAGAAGAAGCAGCGGCGCAGCUUCUAAGCCUGCUAUAUUUCAACCAUCAUGUCCACUUUGCUUCUAAAUGCUCUAAACGCUCUAUAUGCUCAAUUGUCAAUAUUCAAUUAAUUGAAUUCCAAUUUAGGCUGUGGAGGACCGAUCCCAACACAUGAAUCGUGCCUCGGCCUUGGCUCGCCUUCGCGCUCUUAUAGCUCUAAAAGGUGUGUUCACUCCAUUUCAAUCUUUUUUUUAAUUUCCAAAUCCUCAAUUAUCAAAUGAUUAUUUACUCUUGUCUUGAGCUAGUCUGGUCUAGUUAGGAACACUGGAUCUUGAUGCUUAUUCCCCUCCUCAUGAGCUUCUUCAAAUUCUUCCCCCAAAGUCUACCAUUAGAGGAUCAGAUUGUGGUCCCCAAAUUGGACCCAAUAAUCCUAAGUUCAUUUUGGGAAUGCAAGCUCUGUUGGAUCUCAUUUUUGCAGUUGAGGGUUCUGUCUCAGAGGCAGCCAAGUUUCUGGGUGUUCAAACAAUACCUGUUGUGUGGCAUACCAUCCACUUUGUGCACAAGCUGCUGGUCUUUGUGUUGAGUAGUGAAUUUGUAUGGAGACACCAUCUACAUGCCCCGAGGAAAUUCUAAUGGGUUCAAAGAAUAGCCUAAUUAAGUUAUCAUUAAUGACAAAUUUCUCCACUUUUUAAAGAUAAAUAACUACCAUCUAAUGGGUUCUAAUGCAGGUUAAGCACAGGUGCCCUGUCACGGUUCAUACUCUCAAAUGAUUGUCUCCGACUGGCACUCAAUGAACUAAGGUUUUAUUUAGUGAUUUAGACAGUUUGUGAACGUAGCCCAAUUUGGGGCGAACACACGUUAAUUGGUAUCUUCUUUGUUUGCUAUUGUGCUUGAUUUGUUAUUCCUUGUUUAUUUUUUAUUUUUUGCAUUUGUACUUGCAAUCUUUUCAUGCUGAUUUGUGCCUUCUAAGGAGGUUUAGCAUAUAUGAAUAUUGUCUACAGUAUAUAUCUGCCCUAAGAAAAAAUUAUGUGAUUGGGUAUGUAUGGGGACUGCUUUGCUUUUGACUGCUGCAGCAAUGGAUGGGGGCUGCUUUGCUUUUGACUGCAACAACAAUGGAUAUAUGUACUUUGAUGAUAAGAAUCUUGGACAAUACUCGGUACCUUGUAAAGAUUUUGACACAGUACUAGUAUAAUAAACACUGAAUUUGGAAUUUACUCUUGACAUAUUGGUUUCUUUUGCUGUAAAGUUGGCUUUGUGACAAAAUAUGCAUUUUUGACAACUAUUUCUCCGACCUAGCUUUCCUAUGUUUUUUUUCUUUUUAAAAAUUGUUUCAGUUUUUUUAUUAUGGAAAGUUGGCUCAAUGUUUGUUCAUCAUGUUGACUAUUGUUAUCUUCUUCUUUAUUUGUGGUUCUGUUUUCAUGUCAGCCCAUACUUUUAAACUAGAAGAUGGCUUCACUAAUAGCUGAAGGGAUUGAGCUUGGUAAAGCAGCCCCUGUUGUGUUCGUCUCUAGUGAUGAGGUUAAUUCACAAUGAUGUCUGGUGGCAGAGUGUUCAGCACAUUGGAAGCAGAGCUGACUGUAUGAAGAUUGAAACAGAGGAUCUUUUCUUGUGCUCAAGCACUGAUAUUGAGAUGCAGAGUGUUCAUGCAAUGGGCACGGUGAAGAGGUUUUCGAAGAGUGUUGAAGAUACUGAUGAGGUAUGCGAGUCGUGGGAAAAAGAAGGCGUUUUACACCCAAAUGGAAUUGGACGAGGUUCGAGAUGAAUGGGCAUGUCAUGUGCUAGAGUGGAUUUGAGUUUCAACAGUCUCCUUGUUUUGGUAAUAUUUUGCUUAUUUAUGUAUGGAUUAUAUAUAGGAAUGUUUUUUAGAUGUUGCAAUGGCAAUAUAUAUGAAAUGGAUGAGAUGCCUCUAUAUUUUGAGACAAAAACUAAGUAAAAUGUGAUGGGAAAUGUGGAAAUUGCUUACACUUUAUUAGUAACAACGA